UAAUUACAUAAUGAGGUAUUCCAAAUAUUAACAAUUUCAAGUCAUUUGAGUAUAGUUGCAGGACACAUAAUUCCAACAUCUCCCACUUGUCCAAAACGAUCGUUCAAAUAUUCGUAACCCCAUAGUCUUAACAUGCUUACCAAAUACCUCAUGACUAAUAGGCUUAGUCAAGGGUCAGCAACCAGGGUAACACUAUGUUGAAAAUCCAAAGAAAUAUAUAGUGAUACCUUCCCUCAGUAUGUUUCCUUGCUGUGACUCUUAAGAUCACUAGAGACCUUUAGUUUUCGCCUAAUUAUUCCAGCAUAGCUGUCCUCGGCGCCUCGAGUAUUAUUUCCUCGAGUGUAAUUCCUCCUUUAUAGGCACCUCGAUUAUUUUGUUCCUCAAGUGAAAUUUCGCAUCAAUUGUUUUCCAUCACAUAUAUCAAUAAUAUGAUUAAUUCCACAUUGAGUCAAAUAUAUGAUAACCAUGUAGAAUAAAAUUUCCAAAACCACAUAAAUAUCAAAUCCAAUCAGUAAAUGAAACUCCAUAAGCAACCAUGUUUUGAAAGAAAUUCCUGACUUCGGUCAGUGAACCUGCACCAUAUUAGUACUUCACAAAAAAAGGAUAUGCAUACCUGGACUUAUUUCUCAUCUCGUAGAUACAAUAAUAGCUUCCUCAGUGUGUUUACCUUUAAUAUAAAUUUCAAAAUAAGUGACAGGUUGUGAUGCACUUUCCACAAUCUUAUAUGAUGUGUGAGAUUCCCUUAGAUGCUCGUCUUUCCUUCCACUGCUUGAAUGAAGCAUAAAUUCUGAAAGCUAAGUUAUGAUAACAUAAUGAAGAUACAUACGAGUUCCAAUAUCAUUUAUUAUUCCACUUUUCUCAGUAGUUCAAAUAUAAUUCCUCACUGAGUAUGAUUCCCUUUACCAAAAGGUAUUUAACAGAUUUGCAAUUUUCCAUAGAGAAACAUUUCAAAAUAUUUUCUAUGUAUUUCCAAUCGUAAAACAUAGGAUGUUUAAAAUGUUCCUUUCAUAUGAAAGUUAAAAGAUGACCAAGCUUUCACUUCCAUCAAUGUGACUAUAUCAUUGCAAACAACAAAACAAUAUUAACAUAUACAAUAAUAAUGCAAAAUACUUUACACUUACAUUUGUAGAUGACCAUCUUGCUUCAUUUAGAAAACCAUAUGACCUGCUAUUCCAUUGAUGUGAAGCUUGUUAUAAGACCAUACGUUAAUAUACUCAAUUAGCAAACCAUGUCUUUAGUUCCUCUUUCCCAAAAUUCCAGGAGAGAGAGUUUCCACAAGGCAUAUUUCCCUUUGUGUGAAUAAUUGAAUAACAAGAGUGACAUUAUAAUAUUCCAGCGAGCCAAAUAUCCUUUAAAAAAAUCACUUCCAGACAAUAGGCUUGCAGUUAUUUGGUAUGAUAUUAAGUUCCCAAAGUAUGCUCUUCCUCAUUUGAGUUUAUUCCUUUCCUCAAUUCUUCCACCCAUAGUUAACAUUGAAAAAAAACUUCAAGGGAUUUAGCGAUUCCUCUAAAAUUUAGAGUGGCAUGCCCCAACAACAUACAACUAUUAUCCAAACAUGAUAUUCUGAGCUAAUUCCUCCCACUUAUCCUAAGCAUGUCAUGUUUGGAGUGUCACUUGUAGUUUCUUUGGGGUCAAGAUUAUAUUCCAGUAUGAUUGUCAAUAAUUCCACCCUUGAUCAUACAAAUAAUUGUGUUCCUACUUUCCACCAGUUUUCCUUUUCCGGGUAACAAAGGAAACACCCUUUGAUCCACUAGAAUAACCAUGAAAAAAAAUCCUGGUGUGCGCUUUGUAAUAACUGAGAAUUUCAUGCCAAAAUAGAAGAUUUCCUUCCAGUCAACUGAUUGUAGUAGAUGGAGAAUGAUAUCAACAAAUGACAGUAUGCAAUGCUUCCAAAGAAACAAGGGAGUAUACAAGACAUUCAAAAUCCUCCAUUCAAUUGUGGAGUGUAUGGUAUAUUACAAUGGUGAAUAGUUCCAUGCUCUCUACAUACAAACAAUAUAUUCCUGAAGUGUACUUCCCCCAUCAAUCAGUUGUUAAAACUAUGAUAUUAUUUAAUCAACUGAUUUUCCACUUCAGUAUAACAUGUGACCAACACAAUAAAACCUUCUGACUUGUAUAAUAAAUGAUAAACAUAACCAUAUAAAAGUGUAAUCAUCGAAGAGUGGGAUGAAAUAAAUAACCUGACCUCUAGUGGGGAUGUCCAAAGAAAUAUCAUAAGUAUAAAAAAACAAAUGUGAAGCCCUUUCAUCUCCUUCCACCUUAAUAAACAAGGUGUAUUAAAAAAUAUGCUUCACAUGUACCAUAGUCCUCCCACUAGAGUUCAAAAUUCCAGAAUCAAUAAGCCUCUUGAUCCAGUUCCAAGAUAUGUGACGAUAUGUAGAUAAUAAGAUUCCAAGCAUAUGUGUUCCCAUUGUCGAUAUUCCUCCGUAUGGAGUUAUCUUCGCAAAAUAUAAACAUUAUGGUUUGCAAACUUCCAAUGGACAUCAAGAAAGAUAGAUCAUUGUGUGAAAAUCCAUACUGCACUAAUUUAACUAUUGAGCAAUAUUUCCAUUCUUCCUUUUCCAAACAGUGUGUCAUAAUCAAUAGAUUCCAAGAUAUAACAAUAAAGCAAAUUCGUUCUUACUGAAGUUUCACAGAGUGUCCAGUAGCAAUAAUACCUUUUCUCCACAAGGGAGUUUCAUGGCAAAAUUUCCAAUUCCAAAGUGUAUAAGAUUUAGCAGCAAUGACAAAGCAUAGAAAUAUAUAUAUAUAUAUAUAUAUAUAUAUAUAUAUAUAUAUAUAUAUAUAUAUAAUUUCCUUUGGAACUGUUACCAUGUGAACAAAAUUGCUAUUGCAUUCCAGCAAUAUGAGACAUAACCACAAUCCAGCUACAUGAAAAAAUAUCCCUGAAUAAAUAAAUAUAGUGCAAAUAUUAUCAUCAGGCAUAUCAACAAUUGAAGAGAAAUUUCCUUGUCCACGGACUGACUCCCAACUUCCUCCACAAACAAGUGAUGCUGAGUAAUAAGAUCUUUUCUAGAUGUGCAUAAUUUCCAUGCUAUCUUUUCACUGAAGUAAUUGCCGGCCCAUCCGGGCACUCAUGAUCUAAGGUCCUUGGAUUUCUUUUUUGUAUGGACUAGUAUUCUUCUGAGGAGUAAAUAUCAUCUCCUUGUCAUGAAUUGCAUGCAAUAGAUCUGAGAAAAAAAUUAAUCAGUGAUCAAAUAAAAUGAUUAAAACCAUGGAUGCGUUUGGUGCGUGUAGUCCUUCCAGCAAGCUGGCCGUUGCUUGCAAAAGUUCGUUCCACUUUCGUGUUAUUUGCCUUCCUGCAUAUACCAAAGUACUACACGCCUUCGUAUUGAAGCAGUAGAAGCAAAAGAAGUUUCUCUUUUCCUUCAGCUAUCCUUGCGAAGUGGCCGUUCAGAGAAGAAGCAGCAUGCAGUGUUGGUUAUGGCAAAAGUCAACCGGCCGUCGUUUGUCCGAUGGGAUGCAACGAAACCAUCAAGGCAACACAUAGUCACGUACAGGCAGCGGUAGGAUGGCAAGCUUGUCCACGUCUUCGGUUGUCAACAGGCCGCCGAACGCAGCGGAAUUUCCUGGCCAGGACCUCAAGCCAGUGAUGCAGUCGGGUCGCGUCGGACGCAUCUGAGCGACACUGACACGGAGCAGCGAACCCAACGACGCGAAGGUCUAGUGGCGACCUUGUGGCGAACUCGUCGAUGCGGAGGUCACCGGCGGUAGUCCAGCUCGACUCGGCGCGGAACAACACGGAGUCGACGGAGUGGACUUGGAGCGGCGGCUCCGAGAACCCAAUCAAGAAAAAAAUCUUACGAUUCACAAAGAGAGUUAAUUUCCUACACAGGGAGCAUCUUGCAUGGUGUGCCUCGUAUAUGGGUUGGGUGCAUGAUUGAGCCACGCACUAGCAGACGAUGUGAACUUUGCUUUGACUAUUCUAGAUCAUACGAAGCCUCCAACAACUUGGUGUAAUCAGCAUGGCGCGAGCGCAAGCUGGCUAGCAGCGCCCGAUCGGCGUCAGCCCUAGAGUCGUGCGAUGAGGAGGAUCCCGAGCGAUCUGGAGGAGCAGAGUUUGAUCCGGUGGCAGAGUUCGGUCCUGGUGGACCGACUAGGAUCACGGCGGCGGCGUGACCUAAACCUUGCUCAACAUACCAAUGUAAGAAAUUUAGGGUUUUAGUCUACUCUCUAUUUCUCUGCGCUUAUCCGUGGUGUCGCUCACAAAUCGCAUAUCUGAGGCUAGGGGGUAGGGACCUUCUUAUAUUGUUUUUUCAAAGAGUCCACCUCUUAUACAGAUAUAAGAUUUCUAAUUUUUUUUCCACUAGUUUUCGGGAUAGAGUCCAGAUCAAAUUACCAACCACGAUCAUAUUUGUCUGUUAACGGAUUCUACCCGUUAUGUCCCUGGAGCACGCGCUUGUCAGCAACGCGCCAUAAUAGAGUGUAAAUUCAUCUAAUUAUGUAGAUCUACAUUAGGGCUGUAAUCUAACUAUACGAUCUAGCUCCUUCCAAUCAUCAGUGUAUCCGAUAGUCUUUCCAAUAUAACUACUAUAUUGUAUUCCACUGAUAAUCGACCAGCUUCCUUAAGCAUACAACUUAAGUACAUUCCAGCAAGUAACAAUUCCAUGAUAAACAUGUAAAGCAAUUCCAUGUAUAAAAACAUGUAUAAUUCCAUAAUGAGGUAUUCCAAAUAUUAACAAUUUCAAGUCAUUUGAGUAUAGUUGCAGGACACAUAAUUCCAACAUCUCCCACUUGUCCAAAACAAUCGUUCAAAUAUACGUAACCCCAUAGUCUUAACAUGCUUACCAAAUACCUCAUGACUAAUAGGCUUAGUCAAGGGUCAGCAACCAGGGUAACACUAUGUUGAAAAUCCAAAGAAAUAUAUAGUGAUACCUUCCCUCAG
rnacentral:lncRNA from 1 species